rnacentral:lncRNA from 1 species
CGAUGAGUGAUACUCAUCGUCACUUUAUAAUAUGCAUUUCAAAAUAUUUAUUAGGAAAAGCAACUCCCAAUAAGUAUACAACCAAAUAUACUUCAGCGUGUAGUAGGUAUUGCCUAGAUUUUUACUAUUUGGAUGAUGUUUGUAACUUUUGGGGAAAUUCAAGUUUUAUAAGUUGGUUCGCCUGGCGAUGCCGGCAUCCGGCUGGCGUGUUGGUCAUUUCGGCAACCGCAGCGGUCCGGCACUUAGUUUUCGGCUUUUGAUAAGGCAACAGUUCAAUCUCCGCCGGUGGCCAUUGCAUAAGAAAUAGAAAUUUGGUUGACAUAUUAAUUUAUAAGAAGAGUAAUUUACGUUGGAGGAAGUUUUGUUUUGGUUUUGUAGUGUGGAGUGUUUCAAGAGAAGAGUUUUUAUUUUUCAACUCCGUUUUUGGAAAGCAAUGGGUAUGUAUGAAUGUCACAUAGCUAUGGUUUUUCAUUUCUUUUCCGUGAAAAAAAAAAGGUAACUGUCUAAAUCAUUUCUAAUACCAUGUUUAGAUUAGAUUGAAAACAUUGCUAUUCUUCAGUUAUCACAGUUUCAAUAUCUACUUCUAAUCUACGUUCUACAGAUCAAAAAAAUUCCAAGAAUUACAUUUUCACUCCACAAGUUUGAAAUCAAUGAUAAGCUAAUUCUCUCCUUUAAAUAACUCCAGAGUGUAAUCUUUGAUUGCAAGAUCCCCAUUUACUUGUCUAAAUACUUUCUUAUAUUCGUUUAAAAAGCUGUUUCCAUUCAAGGAUAAUCAAGGUCAAUGAACUUUAAGCAUGGACAUCAAACUUCAAUUUUUACUUAGAUUUUUUCUCUGUCAAGUUCUGAUAAGGUGAUACACCUUUUUGUAGAGGCCCUGUUUCAUAUAUGCUCAAGGCCAACCAGCUGAUCAAGGUUUGUUUUUUAGCCACUGGUGGAGAAGGAGAAGUAGAAGAUUAAGUCAAGUCACAGCUUUUGUUUUUUUGGAAAUGGAAUAAAAUAAUUUUGGGAAAUUUUGGGCGAUUUUGUUACUUUUAUGGAAUAUAUGUUGAUUUGCCAGUCAUAGAAGCGUACCUCCUUGUGGAUGACAGUACCCCCCAGGUUUGGGGAAGAUUGGAGGAUAACUUGGAUCUCCAACCAUUCAUCUAGCAGGAUUUUGGAGAAGAAACCAGCUCUCACUUGUAGAAGCAACAGGUUUUAUAGUAAAAUUUACGUUUUCAAUUUUUGUUCAAUAAUAUCUUUCAACUUUAAUAGUUUUAAUAACUUUGAAAUAAAUAACUUUAAUAAUAAUAUAAACUCACUUUGCUAAAAUUUAAUAACUGUCUAAUAUUUAAUAUUUUUUCAACAAAUUUUACCUUUCACCGCUCACAUCAUUCAUUUAAAAUAAUCUGAAGGUUAUAAAUCAUCGUGUAAAGGUGUUGUAUACAAUAUCUAGGUGUUUAUUCCCUUAUUUCAUAACCUUUAUUUCAGUUAUUAGAUAUUGUACUCAGGUUUAUCACUUUAGGUCAGAUACGGAAUUGUCAGCCAAUAUUGUGAUCAAUAUCAAUAUAAUAUUUUUGUUUAGGUAAAUAACUUGUAAUUUCAAAUAACUGUCUUGGUAUAAUUAAUUAAAUUUUUGUGUUUUAUUUUUUUUCUGUAAAUCUCAGUGUCGACAGGAGCGUAUCCUUCUAGUACGACAGGUACUAGUUAGCUAGUGUAUAAAUUUGUAUAUAUAGGGGUUAUAGGUAUUUUUUUUUUUCAUUAAAUUGGUUGGUUGUACAUACUUAUAUGUUUUAUUAUCCUACCUUUUAAUAGUAUUAGUUAGGUACAGCAAUAUAGGUCACGUGGAGAGCAAUAUAUUCUAUUCUUUCCUGGCGCUCAACACUACUUCUGAAUAUCUUCUUGGUCAAUAG